rnacentral:misc_RNA from 1 species
GAUGAAGAACGCAGCGAAAUGCGAUACGUAAUGUGAAUUGCAGAAUUCAGUGAAUCAUCGAGUCUUUGAACGCACAUUGCGCCCCCUGGUAUUCCGGGGGGCAUGCCUGUCCGAGCGUCAUUGCUGCCCUCAAGCACGGCUUGUGUGUUGGGCCUCCGUCCUCCUCCCGGGGGACGGGCCCGAAAGGCAGCGGCGGCACCGCGUCCGGUCCUCGAGCGUAUGGGGCUUCGUCACCCGCUCUUGUAGGCCCGGCCGGCGCUUGCCGACACAUCAAUCUUUUUUCCAGGUUGACCUCGGAUCAGGUAGGGAUACCCGCUGAACAUAAGCAUAUCAAUAAGCGGAGGA